CCUACGGGAGGCAGCAGUGGGGAAUAUUGCACAAUGGGGGGAACCCUGAUGCAGCGACGCCGCGUGAGUGAAGAAGUAUUUCGGUAUGUAAAGCUCUAUCAGCAGGAACGAGACAAGACGGUACCUGACUAAGAAGCCCCGGCUAACUACGUGCCAGCAGCCGCGGUAAUACGUAGGGGGCAAGCGUUAUCCGGAAUCACUGGGUGUAAAGGGAGCGUAGACGGCUGAGCAAGCCUGAAGUGAAGGCGGGGGCCCAACCCCCGGACUGCUUUGGGAACUGUACGGCUGGAGGGCAGGAGAGGUAAGUGGAAUUCCUAGUGUAGCGGUGAAAUGCGUAGAUAUUAGGAGGAACACCAGUGGCGAAGGCGGCUUACUGGACUGUAACUGACGUUGAGGCUCGAAAGCGUGGGGAGCAAACAGGAUUAGAUACCCGAGUAGUC
rnacentral:rRNA from 1 species